ACCCAAUCCCGAUUCGGGGAGGUAGUGACAAUAAAUAACAAUACAGGGCCAACGGUCUUGUUAUUGGAAUGAGAACAAUUUAAAUAACUUAACGAGGAUCAAUUAGAGGGCAAGUCUGGUGCCAGCAGCCGCGGUAAUUCCAGCUCUAAUAGCGUAUAUUAAAGUUGUUGCAGUUAAAAAGCUCGUAGUCGGAUGUCGGGCUCGGGCAGGCUGUCGGCUUCGGUCGGACGGCAGGCUCGGGUCUUUCUGCCUGAGGAACCCGUUGCACUUAAUUGUGGGGCGUGGGGACGCAGGCCGUUUACUUUGAAAAAAUUAGAGUGUUCAAAGCAGGCCUACGCUUGAAUACAUUAGCAUGGAAUAAUGGAAUAGGACUUUGGUGCUAUUUUGUUGGUUUAUGGGACCGAAGUAAUGAUUAACAGGGACAGUUGGGGCCGUUUAUAUUUCGUUGUCAGAGGUGAAAUUCUUGGAUUUACGAAAGAUAAACUUCUGCGAAAGCAUUCGGCAAGGAUGUUUUCAUUGAUCAAGAACGAAAGUUAGGGGAUCGAAGACGAUCAGAUACCGUCGUAGUCUUAACCAUAAACUAUGCCGACUAGGGAUCAGUGGAUGUCAAUUUGCGACUCCAUUGGCACCUUGUGAGAAAUCAAAGUUUCUGGGUUCCGGGGGGAGUAUGGUCGCAAGGCUGAAACUUAAAGGAAUUGACGGAAGGGCACCACCAGGAGUGGAGCCUGCGGCUUAAUUUGACUCAACACGGGGAAACUUACCAGGUCCAGACAUAGUAAGGAUUGACAGAUUGAAAGCUCUUUCUUGAUUCUAUGGGUGGUGGUGCAUGG
rnacentral:rRNA from 1 species